GGGGAUUUAGCUCAGUGAUAGAGUGCUUGCCUAGCAAGCACAAGGCCCUGGGUUCGGUCCCCAGCUCCG
rfam:Rattus norvegicus chromosome 4, whole genome shotgun sequence.